CGUAUCGUCAGGUAUGAUAACUCUAUUGUGCUCUUAUUUAUUAAAGUUUGGGCUUUUAAUCAAAUCUUCAUCUGUAGAUGAUAGCUUUUGACUGUUUUGUUGAUAAUCUUUCAAUGGAUGAUUGGAAAUUGCUUAAUUUAUUUAACCUUAACAUUUACACUUUACUGUUUAUCGAUGACGUCACGUUAUCAAGGAGCGCGAAAAUUGGCAGAAAACUAAAGUUGUUGUGAUCUUUUAUGGUAAACAUAAAAUUGUUCUGCGAUUUAAAGAGUGACAAAAUAAUCCUUCUACAACAGAAGGGAGUGUCCAAGUUUUCAAUAUUUCUGAAGGGAGCUGCUGACAGAGAUCUAGGAAGCGCUGAAAAGGUUAAGUAACCUAAUAUGCAUUUUUUUCACAACAUAUAUCGCAAUGAAUCUGUUAUUUUAUUUAUUUAUUUUUUGCAUCUCACCUGCUCUAGCUUGUUUCUAUCUAAUAAACCUGGAACUGCAGACUAAAUAUUGUUGGCUCUGUGUCAAAUUGCUUGUUUUGUUCCUAGAUUCUUCAGUGCUGAUUCGGAGUGAACCUACUGUAAGACAACAUCUCCAAGAUGCUAUUGACCACAAGACUAGUACAGGUUAUUAGAAACUGCACAGCACAGGACUUGCAGGACUUGUGAGGACUUCAGAUGAUACCAGUACUCAAAAGACCUUAGAUGAUGGCAACUAUAGAUGGACAUACAAACUACCGCCACUGCAAAAAAGAUUCUAAUUUGAAAGAAGUUUAUAAUGCAUGUUCGCUACUCCCAAUUCAGAAGACUGAAUCAGCCUGUGUAUCUGAAUGUUUCUCAAACUCACUCCUCUCUGCCGCGUCUGAAUUUGGGAUUUUCGUUAGCUGUCAGUUAUAAACAUCAAAAUUAAAACAAAUA